rnacentral:rRNA from 1 species
CGGAGCGGAACGGGGUCGCAGAGAAUCGGUGGCUGCGACUGUUUAUUAAAAACACAGCACUCUGCAAACACGAAAGUGGACGUAUAGGGUGUGACGCCUGCCCGGUGCCGGAAGGUUAAGUGAUGGGGUGCAAGCUCUUGAUCGAAGCCCCGGUAAACGGCGGCCGUAACAAUAACGGUCCUAAGGUAGCGAAAAUUCCUUGUCGGGUAAGUUCCGACCUGCACGAAUGGCGUAACGAUGGCCACACUGUCUCCUCCUGAGACUCAGCGAAGUUGAAAUGUUUGUGAAGAUGCAAUCUCCCCGCGGCUAGACGGAAAGACCCCAUGAACCUUUACUGUAGCUUUGCAUUGGACUUUGACGGGACUUGUGUAGGAUAGGUGGGAGGCUUUGAAACCGGGACGCCAGUUCCGGUGGAGCCAACCUUGAAAUACCACCCUGGUGUCGUCGAGGUUCUAACCCAGGCCUGUGAAUCCAGGUCGGGGACCGUGCAU